GCGCGCACGGGUGAGUAACGCGUAUCCAACCUGCCCUUUACUAUGGGACAGCCCGUCGAAAGGCGGAUUAAUACCGUAUGUUGUCAUGUUGAUGCAUAUUUUCAUGACCAAAGGCUUCGGCCGGUAAAGGAUGGGGAUGCGUCUGAUUAGCUUGCCGGCGGGGUAACGGCCCACCGGGGCGACGAUCAGUAGGGGUUCUGAGAGGAAGGUCCCCCACAUUGGAACUGAGACACGGUCCAAACUCCUACGGAAGGCAGCAG
rnacentral:rRNA from 1 species